AUCACUCUGUCAGUACAGGCCAGUCAUGAUGGUACUGGGUGUAUUCCUGCUCUUGUCUCUCUUAAUAGGAGAAUCUGUUGGAAAUGCCAUAACAUCAUCUCAUUCUUCACUUGUCGUCAUUAAGGGAGAAACUGUCACUUUCUCUUGUAACUACAGCAGUAGUAAUGUCAAUAGUUUACAGUGGUAUCGGCAGUAUCCCAACUCCAUCCCACAGUUCCUCUACUACAUACUUGAAAGUAAGACCAUUUCAGACCCAGUUCCCCGUCUGACUCCCUCCAUAAAGACAGAGGAAAAGCGCGUGUUUCUGGAGCUCUCCUCUGCAGAGGCGUCUGACUCUGCUGUGUACUACUGCGCCCUGGUGCCCACAGUGACAGGAACUCAGACUCUGCUGUACAAAAACCUCUCAGAUGUGCAGGAGGAGGGAGAUUCAACAUGUCCCCUUCACAGACAGAGAAUCUGUUGGGGAUACCAUAACACCGUCGCAUUCUUCACUGGUCGUCAUAGAGGGAGAAAGUGCCACUUUCUCCUGUAACUACAGUGGUAGUGUCACUAACUUGCAGUGGUAUCGGCAGUACCCCAACUCCAUCCCAGAGUUCCUCUACCUCAUAUAUGAGCAUGGUUCCCCUUCAGGCUCAGUUCCCCGUCUGACUCCCUCUAUAAAGACAGAGGAAAAGCGCGUGUUUCUGGAGCUCUCCUCUGCAGAGGCAUCUGACUCUGCUGUGUACUA